UCAAGUGAUUCUCCUGCCUCAGCCUCCUGAGUAUCUGGAAUUACAGGCCAACCCUGCUUAUUCCUGUAAACCAACCAGUGAUCUCUGGCUACUGCUCAGAAGAAACAAGAGGGAUGGCUGAUUAAACAGGUUGCAGUAAAAGAGCCAGCCUAAACCCAGCAAAACCAAAAUGGUGAUGAGAGUGACCUCUGGUUGUCCUCACUGCUACACUCCCACCAGCACCAUGACAGUUUACAAAUUCCAUGACAAUGUCAGGAAGUUACCCUAUGUGGUCUAAAAAGAGGAGGCAUGAAUAAUCCACCCCUUGUUUAGCAUAUCAUCAAGAAAUAACCAUAAAAAUAGGUAAUCUGCAGCCCCCAGGCUGCUCUGUCUGUGGAGUAGCUGUUCUUUUUUUCUUUUACUUUCUUAAUAAACUUCCUUUCACUUUGC
rnacentral:lncRNA from 1 species